rnacentral:tRNA from 1 species
GCCGGGAUGGCGGAAUUGGCAGACGCAGCAGACUUAAAAUCUGCCGAGGAAUUUCCUUGUGUGGGUUCGAGUCCCACUCCCGGCACCA